GAGCGAACAGACGAGGAGCUUGCUCCUCUGACGUUAGCGGCGGACGGGUGAGUAACACGUGGAUAACCUACCUAUAAGACUGGGAUAACUUCGGGAAACCGGAGCUAAUACCGGAUAAUAUAUUGAACCGCAUGGUUCAAUAGUGAAAGACGGUUUUGCUGUCACUUAUAGAUGGAUCCGCGCCGCAUUAGCUAGUUGGUAAGGUAACGGCUUACCAAGGCAACGAUGCGUAGCCGACCUGAGAGGGUGAUCGGCCACACUGGAACUGAGACACGGUCCAGACUCCUACGGGAGGCAGCAGUAGGGAAUCUUCCGCAAUGGGCGAAAGCCUGACGGAGCAACGCCGCGUGAGUGAUGAAGGUCUUCGGAUCGUAAAACUCUGUUAUUAGGGAAGAACAAAUGUGUAAGUAACUAUGCACGUCUUGACGGUACCUAAUCAGAAAGCCACGGCUAACUACGUGCCAGCAGCCGCGGUAAUACGUAGGUGGCAAGCGUUAUCCGGAAUUAUUGGGCGUAAAGCGCGCGUAGGCGGUUUUUUAAGUCUGAUGUGAAAGCCCACGGCUCAACCGUGGAGGGUCAUUGGAAACUGGAAAACUUGAGUGCAGAAGAGGAAAGUGGAAUUCCAUGUGUAGCGGUGAAAUGCGCAGAGAUAUGGAGGAACACCAGUGGCGAAGGCGACUUUCUGGUCUGUAACUGACGCUGAUGUGCGAAAGCGUGGGGAUCAAACAGGA
rnacentral:rRNA from 1 species